rnacentral:misc_RNA from 1 species
GGAAGUAAAAGUCGUACAAGGGUUCCGUAGGUGAACCUGCGGAAGGAUCAUUACUGAGUGAGGGCCCUCUGGGUCCAACCUCCCACCCGUGUUUAUUGUACCUUGUUGCUUCGGUGCGCCCGCCUCACGGCCGCCGGGGGGCUUCUGCCCCCGGGUCCGCGCGCACCGGAGACACCAUUGAACUCUGUCUGAAGAUUGCAGUCUGAGCAUAAACUAAAUAAGUUAAAACUUUCAACAACGGAUCUCUUGGUUCCG